GACGAAGGGGGCUAGCGUUGCUCGGAAUCACUGGGCGUAAAGCGCACGUAGGCGGAUUGCUAAGUCAGGGGUGAAAUCCUGGAGCUCAACUCCAGAACUGCCUUUGAUACUGGCGAUCUUGAGUCCGGGAGAGGUGAGUGGAACUGCGAGUGUAGAGGUGAAAUUCGUAGAUAUUCGCAAGAACACCAGUGGCGAAGGCGGCUCACUGGCCCGGUACUGACGCUGAGGUGCGAAAGCGUGGGGAGCAAACAGG
rnacentral:rRNA from 1 species